rnacentral:rRNA from 1 species
AAUGAACGUUGGCGGCGUGGAUUAGGCAUGCAAGUCGUGCGGCAGCAGGCCCCGCAAGGGGCGCUGGCGAGCGGCGAAAGGGAUAGUAAUGUGUGGAUACCUGCCCAGGGGACGGGGAUAGCUGCUGGAAACGGCAAUUAAUACCCGAUGAUGUCUCCGGACCAAAGGUGUGAUUCCGCCCUAGGAGGGGUCCACAUCCUAUUAGCUAGUUGGUGAGGUAACGGCUCACCAAGGCCACGAUGGGUAGCGGGUGUGAGAGCACGACCCGCAUCACUGGGACUAAGACACUGCCCAGACACCUACGGGUGGCUGCAGUCGAGGAUCUUCGGCAAUGAGCGAAAGCUUGACCGAGCGACGCCGCGUGCGGGAUGAAGGCCUUCGGGUUGUAAACCGCUUUCGGAGGGGAGGAAAUCUAGGGGGGAUCACCCUUCUAGUUGACCUAUCCUAGGAAGAAGGACGGGCUAAGUUCGUGCCAGCCGCCGCCGUAAUAC